CCUACGGGUGGCUGCAGUGGGGAAUAUUGCACAAUGGGGGAAACCCUGAUGCAGCGACGCCGCGUGAGCGAUGAAGUAUUUCGGUAUGUAAAGCUCUAUCAGCAGGGAAGAAAAUGACGGUACCUGACUAAGAAGCCACGGCUAACUACGUGCCAGCAGCCGCGGUAAUACGUCGGGGGCAAGCGUUAUCCGGAUUUACGUGGUGUAAAGGGAGCGUAGACGGCUGUGCAAGCCAGGUGUGAAAGCCCGGGGGUCAACCCCGGGACUGCCUUUGAAACUGUGUGGCUGGAGUGGCGGAGAGGCAGGCGGAAUUCCUAGUGUAGCGGUGAAAUGCGUAGAUAUUAGGAGGAACACCAGUGGCGAAGGCGGCCUGCUGGACGAUGACUGACGCUGAGGCACGAAAGCGUGGGGAUCGAACAGGAUUAGAUACCCCGGUAGUC
rnacentral:rRNA from 1 species